rnacentral:lncRNA from 1 species
AUGGCUACCGGGCCCACGCCACGUCCGGGUGCACCGCCGGAAGUGACGCAACCGCGUGACGUCACGGCGGGGGCCGCGGAGGGAUUCCCCAGGGGCGUGACCACGAUUGAUGGGCGUGGCCAAAGAGGCGUGGCCAUAGUGGAGUGGGCGUGGCCAUGCGGGGACCGGUGCGCUGCAGUUCCGUGUUCCCCGAGGAACAGAGAAUUCCCAGCACAAAUAAGGGAAGGAAGAAGGAGAACAGCUUGUGCUGCCCCCAGCGCCUCUCCAGGCUCUGAGGAUGGUUUUCCUCCUUCUCAAGGCCCAUGCAGCAAUAAAUUGUCUUGCAGUAUCAUGGGAAUGGUUAACCUUGAUUUGAGUUCAUGUACCACCUCCUUCCCUGCAAGGUCAAAUUCCAAAUAAUCCUCUGGAGAGGAAUGAAAUAAAGUCGGGGCUGCUCCCUGGGAUACA